CGGUCUCUUGCCUCGCUCGAUCUGCUGCUGUAUCUGCAGACCUUGAGCUGGAUGCACUCUUGCUUCUUCAUGAAGUAACUGCUGUACGAGACAAGAACAACACCGCGACGAUCUUUGAGUGCGGAGCCGCCUGAUCCAUGUGUCGGACUUCGCAAUUUAUCCGUCGAGACAUAU
rnacentral:snoRNA from 1 species